AACUGCAGAGAGAGGACUCCUGUCUUGUUCUCUCUUUUUGUUGUCCAAGAACCAUGAAAAUAGUCCUCGUAUGAUCACAAAAUCCCAACUCAUCCCCUCUUGGUCCAAACAUAGGGAGAAUCAAAGGCAUGUCACCCUGCCAGGUAGUCAAAGAUGUGGACUCCAGACCUCUAAGACCAGCUUUUAAGAGUUCAAGCCAUUGUUUCUCUCUCCACAGUGGGUCCCCCUUUUAUAAAAACAACAACAACAAAACUCAUCAAGAACAGAUUCCCAACAGGUGGCCCCACCCGAUCUCAGCUCUGCCUUUCCCGCCUCUCUGCUGGGUUGCAUAAGCCAGCGAUUCCCAACCCCGGCUGCACCUGGAAGCUACCCCAGGAGCUUCUGGAGAAUGUGCCGUGUGAGCCAUCCCCCUGCACUGAGCCCUGGUGGGUCAGCGGUGGGGGCGCCCAGGCGUGGGGGUCUAUUUAAAGCUCCCAGGUGCUGUGCGGCCAAGAUUAAGAGGCACUGCUCCAAACUGUCCUGGCAACUCUGACUGUACCCGGCACUCCCCACGCCCAACCUCCCUUCUGCCCCUGGGCAGGUUGGCAUCCAGUGUCGGGGAGAACCCUGGAGGCGAACGCCAGCCUUAUAGAGCCCCACUGUUGGGAGGCCUGCAGGUUGGACAAGGCGAGGUCUGAGUCACCUUGGUUGGGAGCAGAUGCUGCCCUGUUGGUGGCCUGCCAGCCUCUGUCCCCACCCCACCACUCAGAGACAUGGUGUGCCUGCACUUUCCUGAUCCGGGAGCUCCUGCCUUGCUGCCCAGAUGACCUUUGGCCUAGGAAGAAGUCAAAUCUCAGUGUUUUGGACCGGGCACGGUGACUCACAACUGGAAUC
rnacentral:lncRNA from 10 species